AAAUGGUCGGGGGGUUGAAAGUGGGUUUUCUAGUGAUUCAAAAUAAGGUACAAAACAUUUUUUAUCUUACUGACGAAUCACACAUGACUAUGGAAUAUAAUUCAGCAUGAUUUAGUGACUUAAGAAAAUUAAGUAAAUAAUAUAAAUACAAUUUCCCAAAGAAAUAAUCCUCAAAUGAUCAUUGUGCAAAACCAAGAAUAAUAUCGAUCCAGUAUUUCAGGCAUAACAAUUCACCUGUUUGCCCAUAUGCAAAGCAA
rnacentral:misc_RNA from 1 species